rnacentral:rRNA from 1 species
GACGAACGCUGGCGGCGUGCUUAACACAUGCAAGUCGAACGGAACGGCCUGCUUUCCCUUGUGGCUUGCGGGUACUCGAGUGGCGACCGGGUGAGUAACCCGUGUGUGAUCUGCCCACAACUUGGGUAUAAGCCUGGGAAACUGGGUCUAAUUCUCGAUCGGACUGCAGGGUGGUGCCUGUGGUGGAAAUCGAUUUUCUAGUGGUUGGGGAUGAGCUCGCGGCCUAUCAGCUUGUCGGUGGGGUAGUGGCCUCACAAUGCGGCGACGGGUAGCCGGACUGAGGAGGCAGACGUGCACAGUGAGAAUGAGAUACGGCCCAGACUCCUACAGGAGGCAGCAGUGGGGAAGAGUGGACGAGGGGCGGAAUCCUGAAGCAGCGGCGCCGGGUGGGGGAUGACGUGCUGCGGGUGGGAUGCACCUUUCAGGCGCGUAGAGGCCUCCUGGUUGGAAUGGUAGUGACGGUAGUGGGAGAAGAAGCACCGGCUAACUACGUG